rnacentral:rRNA from 1 species
CCUACGGGUGGCAGCAGUCGAGAAUUAUUCACAAUGGGGGAAACCCUGAUGGUGCGACGCCGCGUGGGGGAAUGAAGGUCUUCGGAUUGUAAACCCCUGUCAUGUGGGAGCAAAUUAAAAAGAUAGUACCACAAGAGGAAGAGACGGCUAACUCUGUGCCAACAGCCGCGGUAAUACAGAGGUCUCAAGCGUUGUUCGGAAUCACUGGGCGUAAGGCGUGCGUAGGCUGUUUCGUAAGUCGUGUGUGAAAGGCGCGGGCUCAACCCGCGGACGGCACAUGAUACUGCGAGACUAGAGUAAUGGAGGGGGAACCGGAAUUCUCGGUGUAGCAGUGAAAUGCGUAGAUAUCGAGAGGAACACUCGUGGCGAAGGCGGGUUCCUGGACAUUAACUGACGCUGAGGCACGAAGGCCAGGGGAGCGAAAGGGAUUAGAUACCCCAGUAGUC